AGCCUGACGCAGCAACGCCGCGUGGGGGAUGAAGGUUCUCGGAUUGUAAACCCCUUUCGAUCGGAACGAAUCUCCUCUUGGUAAAUAAUCAGGAGGAUCGACGGUACCGGGAGAAGAAGCCACGGCUAACUCUGUGCCAGCAGCCGCGGUAAGACAGAGGUGGCGAGCGUUGUUCGGAUUUAUUGGGCGUAAAGCGAACGCAGGUGGUUUGGUAAGUCAGAGGUGAAAGACCACAGCUUAACUGUGGCACUGCCUUUGAUACUGCCUUUCUAGAGUGCAUGAGGGGGAAGCGGAAUUCCGAGUGUAGAGGUGAAAUUCGUAGAUAUUCGGAGGAACACCGGUGGCGAAGGCGGCUUCCUGGCAUGUAACUGACACUCAUGUUCGAAAGCGUGGGUAGCAAACAGGAUUAGAUACCCUGGUAGUCCACGCCCUAAACGAUGGGCACUAGGUGUGGGAGGUAUCGACCCCUUCCGUGCCGCAGCUAACGCAUUAAGUGCCCCGCC
rnacentral:rRNA from 1 species